CUGCCCAUGACUCCACUCAAGCAUUGGCUACCUCAUUGCCUUCUAAUCGAGUGCUCUCUACUUCAUCGUUCCACUCUAUGGUGACUCGUUCUAAAAUCAAUAUUCAUAAACCCAACCUUAAAUAUGUGAAAGUUGCUCUAUCGACAAUUUCCUCUGAAACUCGGAGUGUUACUUCUGCUCUUAAACAUUCUACCUGAAAAGGAGCUAUGA
rnacentral:lncRNA from 1 species